rnacentral:lncRNA from 1 species
AAACCUCAACAAAAUCCGUACGAAAUUCGCCAUGGAAAAAACCUAAAAUCAUGAAACAAAAUAAAAAAUGCAGAAUACUAAAAAAUGAUUAAAUAGACUGCAAAUACAUUUGAAUGACAAUAAAUUAAUAUCAUCAAAAAUAAACUUAAAAUGCAAAAUCCAUACGCUAAUUUAAAAAAAGACUACGAACUAUAUUUUAAUGUACUACCCAGAACACUUAAAUCGGCUGUUAUAAACAAAUAAACCAACUAUCGAUCGGGAUCAAAAACAUGAACUCGACCACAGCGGACAAUUAUUCCGAUUAUUGCAUAAACCAACUACGAAGCUCAUAUAAAACAACUCUGGUCCGAUCUGCGUGAACCAUCCUCUUCUAACUUUGUCAAUCCUCUUCCAAACAAACAUCAUCCGCCAAAAAUAACGAUGUAUAUAUUAAUAUGAUACGACAUUAAAAAUGCAGAAUACUAAAAAUAUAUUAAUAUGAUCAAAAAUAAACUUAAAAUGCCAAAUUCAUACGAUAACUUAAAAAAUACUACGAAAUAUAUUUUAAUGUACUACCCAGCGUCCUAAAAUCCGCUGUUAUAAACAUAUAAACCAACUAUCGACCGGGAUCAGACUCAUGAACUCCACGACAGCGGACAGUUAUUUCAAUUAAUGCGUAAACCAACUACGAUGUUCAUAUAAAACAACUCUGGUCCGAUAUGCGUGAACCAUCCUCAUCUAACUAUGUCAAUCCUCUUCCAAACAAACAUCAUCCGCCAAAAAUAACGAUGUAUAUAUGACGGAAUAAUUUUGUUAAAAAACGUUCUUCUUAAUAGAAUCAAGUAUCAACACAACUCUUAAAAAUUUCUAACCACCGUAAUCGACAAUCCUAGACAUUGAGCGAAAAAUAAAAACGAAUAACGCAUUCAUACCCGGUUAACAACGUCCAACAACGAACGCUCAAAUUCGAUCCUAUUUCAACGACGGUGUAGAAAUCUUCAAAGACGAUAAAAAAACCGCUGGAACGGUGAAGAGAACCUUCGAAAAAUAUUGUACACGAUUUUGCCAACUUGGCAAAAUAUAUUAUAUAAUUUUCCUUUAACACCCCUGUUUUAUUUUUAAUCGGCAUUUAUUUCCUUUACUACGUGAUUUGAGAUUUGCUGAUACGUUGCCUAAAAUCACGGAAUAAAAUUACUUGAGAUCAUUGGUCGUUAUAUCAAAUCGUGUCUAUCAAAUCGUGUAGAAUUUGUUGUUUUUGAAGAUUUAUCCAGCGUUCCAUCGUUUUAAUCGCCUUUGAAGAUUUCUUCACCGUCAAGCGGGUAUGAAUGCGUCUUUUUUGGCUUUUAUUUUCGCUGUAUGUACAGGAUUGUCG